UUCUGACAUACAUUUACACAUUGUUUCAGAGGAUGCGAUGUGCUUAUUUUAGAUACUGGAUUGGGAAGUGCAGAGAAUCAAGCAAGGGUCAAGGAGUUGCUUCAUGUGGAGGAAUCAAAACUAGAGGAGGAUGAGGGAAAUACCACUCCAGCAGUGAGAUGGGUUCGAGAUGAUAAAUAUGAUUGCAUCCGAUUAAAGCAUUGCAAGGUGAGCUAUAUUCACUGUGUAUCCCCCCUUCAGAGUACAUAUGUAUCUGUAUAGUAAUUAAUUUCAAUAUAGGCACAUCAAAUUACCUUAAUUGUUUCUGGACAUAGACUUAAUCCUUUGGAUUACUUUAUUUUAAUUGGUAGAGUAUUUGCCACUACCUUUCUAUUAUUCAUUCUUUUGCUUUGCAGGUUGUGAAAAAAUUGAUUGGCAUCGGAAAGGAGACUAUUUCACUACUGUCGUUCCUAGUGAUAUCCUAAUUAUGAAUUUUAGUUGUACUUAUUUUUAGUCAUUCCUAGUGCCUAUUUUAUAUCUCAGUUUUGUUUCUUUCUUUUUUCUAAUACACACUGACAAAUUGGAAAUAUAUAAAAAUCAUGACAUUAUACCUAGUUACCUAGCCUUUGAGGCUGGAAUCAGGAUGAAACCUAAAGUGCCCUGAAAAGUUUAGGCAUACCAAAUUCUCUCAGUUUAAUGACAGAGGUGUUUUAGAUUGUAAAUUUCAUCCGAGGCAAC